AAUGCUAAACUAACGAAACAAAAACCCUCUUCCCUUUCGCAUCUCCUCUCCUCUCCGCCAAACAUGGCAGCAGAAUUCUUGCUACCCUAAUUCUCACCACAAAACAGUGCGAAUUUCUCCCAAAAACCUCAAUUUCUUACUCUAUCCGAAUAGAUCUGGUCAUAAUUUGUAGUUUCAAUUCUGAGUAUUGAGUCGGCGAUUCCAAUUUGCUUUUCAAUUAGCCAAUUGUGAAGAUAAGUGCGAAAUUGACUCUCCUUCGAGGAGUUUGAACCGUUUUAGAGUGUAGGUGAAAUAGGAACAAACACAGGAGCUCAUGCCUAUCCAAGAUGAAUCUUCCUCCCUUCCCCACUUCACAAUUACUGUACUUUCACAACUUUACUUUACUACAUUUGAUGCGUUUGUUUUUUCCACCGUUUUUUUUCAUUCUAAUUUUCUUCCUUGUCAACCCCAAGUGAAAUGUCCAUGUCCGACCCUUACAGGUUUGACUUAAUUUUAUUUUAUUGCUGGAAGAUGGUGGACGACGGUGAAGACUGUAGGGGACUACAAGCCAUUAGGGAAGCGUUGCUUUUUCAAUUUUGGAAUUUGGUGGUCUAGACAGAUGUUGACCUCAGUUGACUAAUUCACUUUGGUUUAUUGAUUUCAUACUUACCCAAAAACAAUGAUGGGUGUUUGUAGAUGUUUUUGUAUAUGUAGAUACCUAAUUCGUGCGGGGAAAGAGAUCUCUGUUUUUAACUAUGGGAUUAUAUCAAUUUAAAUUAUUGUCUAUCGUAUGUCAA